CACGCGGUGCGGUCGCGGUAUCCGUUGGUUUGAGGUGCCGGAGACAUGUGGAGGACGCGCUGAUGUUCGUCUGAGCGGCUGUUUAACGCGUCAAAUCUGCACAAAUCCUCCGCGUUCGCUCAAAUAAGCGCUUCGGGCUGCUGUUCGGACGUAAGGAGCUUCGUCUCUGCUCGGGGCCGAGUCGGAAAUCAGCAGAAUAAGGUAAGGAAAGAUGUCGUACUAUUCAUCCCGUAGUUCGUCUCGAGCCACCGACUGUAAAGUUUACGUCGGCGACCUCGGGAACGGCGCUGCCAAAGGGGAGCUGGAGCGAGCGUUCAGUUAUUAUGGCCCACUGAGGAGCGUCUGGGUUGCCAGGAACCCACCUGGCUUCGCUUUUGUGGAGUUUGAGGAUCCCAGAGAUGCAGAAGAUGCAGUCAAAGGCAUGGAUGGAAAGGUUCUCUGUGGUUCCCGUGUCCGUGUGGAGAUGUCCACAGGCCUGUCCAGGAAGGGCCGAGGGCGUCCGAGCCGCCGCCAGUUCGACCCCAAUGAUCGGUGUUACCAGUGUGGAGACCGAGGCCACUACGCCUACGACUGCUACCGGUUCAGCAAGAGAGGAAGACGCAGCAGGUCUCGCUCUCGUUCGCGGUCUCGCUCCAGGUCCAGGUCUCGUGGUCGUCGCUACCGUUCUCGUUCUCGUAGCCGCAGCCGCAGCCACAGCAGGAGCCGUCGUCGAUCUCCGUCCUAUUCCAGGCGCAGGAGCAGGUCUGGAUCUCAGGCUCGCUCCAAGUCCAGGACUCCAGCAAGAAGUCGCUCCAGGUCCCGGUCUGGCUCGGCCCCCAGAGGGCGUUCUGUCUCCAGAUCUCGCUCACGCUCUCAGUCCGCCAACCACAAGAGGAACAGCGUGUGGUGGGAGCUGAGCACUGCACUGACACCGCAGCUGAUCCCAGGCCCAGGGUCUGCCAGCUGGCGGUGUGUACGUCCUGCGGGAGGGUGACUAAGCGCUGACCUGAGAUCAGCCUUCGCCUGCAUCUGGUGUUAGACAGCGAGAAAGAGGUCGACCUACCGACCGAACCCUCCCCACAGUGAAUGGGCGACUGUCUGUUCAACCGACGCACACGCUCAGACGAGAUCAGCCCGCGCACACAUACAGUUGUUCGACUAGAGUCACCCAGCCAGCCAGCCAGCCAGCCAGCCAGCCUUCAGACGUACCAGAGGGCUGACCCACACAGAUCACAGUUCGACCUUUUUAAACCCAUUACCUACCUACCAGACCCCCCUACCUACCUACCAGAGUUCUUCGGCCUCUGUCUUAGCUUCUGAAAGUGAGAGAAAGAGCUGACGAGAGAUCAGUCUUCAAGAGCCUCCCAGCGCAGUGUCUCUCCAAGUUGUAGUCAUCCGUCCUUCAGUCCUUUCAUCCUUCGCUUCUCUGUACUUGUUGUUUCUGCCACUGUCUCCAAAGUCGUUCCCGUUCAGCAAGUCCAAACCGAAGCCCAACACCAGCAGACGACUGAGCCAAGAAGAUAUUAGUCCCUUCACUGUCCCUAACCCUGCACCCUGUCUGCUUUUACCUACAGCAGCUGUUUUUGUAUUUGUCUAGUCGCAGUCUUUCAGGUUUGAUUUUCUCCACAGGACUGUAGUCUUCACGCAGCCUCAGAUUGUUCAGGGUUUAGUCGGUACAGAAAUCCGUUUCCAUUAGAUAGGAGUCGUUUUAAACGUUGCCGCUGCGUAGGUCAACUUUCUUCUCAGAAUUAACGUAGCCAGUACAAGAAGCAGCGCCGGCGGAGGUGAACGUUGCAGCGGACUUUUUUUUUAGCAGUUCUCGCAGUACAUUGCGACGGGAUGUAGCACAGCUGAUGCAGUUCUGGAGGAUGACGCCGCAUCGAUCAACUGCUUUUAUUCCCAGAGCUCAAGUUUCAUCCAAAUUUUUCUCCCCAUUGAAGAUUGGCAAACUCCUAUUCGUUGUAUUGCGCUCCUGAGUUUGAAUGCAGUUUAGUUUCCAGAGUUUCUGGCCUGCAUGCCUUUAAAUAUGACGCCACAUUCCUGUUUGUUGGUUUCCUGCUGCACUGUCCUUUUAUUACAGACCCGACCAGCGUCUCUGUUUGCUGAGUAGAUUUUCCUCAUGUGUUGAUCUCUGAUUUGUUUCUGUGACUUGAUUUUAAAAUGUAAACAGUGCUUCAGUUUGAUUUCUGUAAGCGGCUGCUUUGACAGUUUCGUGCUGUUCCUGGCUCAUAUGUUGGGACGGUGGCAGUUUUAUUUUUGAAUAAACCUCUUCAACAAAC